UUAGUGGGGAAUACCUCCGGGAAACUGGAGACAAUACCGCAUAAGCUCGUGAGAGGAAAACAGCAAUGCGCUGAAAGAGGAGUCCGCGGCUGAUUAGCUAGUUGGUGAGGUAACGGCCCACCAAGGCGAAGAUCGGUAGCCGGCCUGAGAGGGCACACGGCCACACUGGCACUGAAACACGGGCCAGACUCCUACGGGAGGCAGCAGUGGGGAAUCUUGCACAAUGGAGGAAACUCUGAUGCAGCGACGCCGCGUGAGCGAUGAAGCCCUUCGGGGUGUAAAGCUCUUUCGACGGGAACGAUAAUGACGGUACCCGAAGAAGAAGCUGCGGCUAACUACGUGCCAGCAGCCGCGGUAAUACGUAGGCAGCAAGCGUUGUUCGGAAUUACUGGGCGUAAAGAGUGUGUAGGCGGUGAUCUAAGUUUGUCGUGAAAUCUCCCGGCUUAACUGGGAGGGUGCGGCGAAAACUGGAUUGCUUGAGGAUGGGAGAGGUAAGCGGAAUUCCUGGUGUAGCGGUGAAAUGCGUAGAUAUCAGGAGGAACACCUGUGGUGUAGACAGCUUACUGGACCAUUUCUGACGCUGAGACACGAAAGCGUGGGUAGCAAACAGGAUUAGAUACCCUGGUAGUCCACGCCCUAAACGAUGCAUACUUGGUGUGAGCCAUUCAUUUGGUUCGUGCCGGAGCUAACGCGUUAAGUAU
rnacentral:rRNA from 1 species